rnacentral:tRNA from 1 species
GGCCGGGUGGCGAAAGGGUAUACGCACCGCACUCAAAAUGCGACGUCCGCAGGACAUGAGAGUUCGAAUCUCUCCCCGGCUACCA